UAAGAGUUUGGUUAGGGUUUGAUUUAGGAUUUGGAUUAAGAUUUGGUUAGGGUUUGAUUUAGGAUUUGGAUUAGGAUUUGGAUUAGGGUUUAGGGUUUAGGGUUUGGUUAGGGUUUAGGAUUGGAUUAGGGUUUGGGUUAGGGUUUAGAAUUUGGUUAGGAUUUGGAUUAGGAUUUGAUUUGAGGUUUGGUUUAAGAUUUAGGAUUUGGAUUAGGAUUUAGGAUUGGAUUAGAGUUUGGAUUAGGAUUUAGGGUUUGAUUUAGGGUUUAGUUUAGGAUUUAGGGUUUGAAAUAGGAUUUGAUUUAAGAUUUAAUUUAAGGUUUGUUUAGGAUUUGACUUAGGAUUUAGGAUUUAUUACGGUUUAAGAUUUAAUUAGGUUUGGUCUAAAGUUUGAGUGAAAUUCAAUAGGGUUUUAACUAGAAUUAAAUUAAAGUUGAAUUGACAUAUAUUUGAGUAAUAUUUGUGUUCAUUCUAAUAUUUCUUUAAGAAUUUUAUUAUUUGUUUGAAAUUUCUUUGUGUUGUUUUAAAUUUGAU
rnacentral:lncRNA from 1 species